GACGGGGGAUGCGAGCGUUAUCCGGAAUGAUUGGGCGUAAAGGGUCCGCAGGUGGCCCGGUCAGUCCGCUGUCAAAGCCUGGGGCUCAACCCUGGAGAGGCGGCGGAGACCACCGGGCUUGAGUCCGGUAGGGGCAGAGGGAAUUCCCGGUGGAGCGGUGAAAUGCGUAGAGAUCGGGAAGAACGCCAAGGGCGAAGGCAGCUCGCUGGGACGGUACUGACGCUGAGGCGCGAAAGCGUGGGGAGCAAACAGG
rnacentral:rRNA from 1 species